AAUAAAAACACAUUCCUCAAAUAGUUGUUGUGAAGAUGAAACAAGAUAGUACUUAUAUAUAUUAUGCUGCCAUAAUGAAGACUCCCCAGAAUGGUAGCUAUACAUGUUCUUACCUGUUCAUUCAGAACAAUGUCUUAGGAGAUAGAAGGUGUUCAACUGAAGGGGAAGCUGAGGCUCAGAAAAGCUAAAAUACAAAGUGAUCAAUAAUAGAAGGUCUCAACACAGGUAUUCUGACAGACAAAGCUAGGGUGUUUGCCAUCAUACCAUGACUACCUUGGUGGGUUAUACUAGGAAUAAUAUAAUAAUUGUAGUAAAAUUUAAAUACCAGAUGCCACUUUCCUAAGUACCUUACAUAGAUAGUUAAGCUUUUCUAAUCCUCAAGACAGUCAUUAUAAGGAAGGCACUAGUAUUAUUGUCACGUUUUUACUAUGGAAACCAGUACCAAGAGAGGUGAAAUAGCUUGUCUGAGGUCUACCAGCAGGUCCAUCAUGAGGCUGGGACUGAGCUUGUGCUCUUCACUAUGGCCUCUUAAUCUCAGAUGUCUUAUUUUUCAUAAUUCUAACACAAAUCAAAGUACUAUUUGACUCACAUGUACCAUCAGCUUGACGGUUAUGCUAUCACUUAGAAUUGUACUAUCCCAAUAUAGUAGUAGCCAUCCAGUCACAUGUGGCUACUGAGCACUGGAAAUGGGGCAGAUCUGGGUUGAACUAUGCUGGAAGCAUAAAAUAAAAAUCAAGUUUUAGACUUCAUACAGAAAAAGCAUACAAAAUAC
rnacentral:lncRNA from 1 species